GAUGAACGCUGGCGGCGUGCCUAACACAUGCAAGUCGAACGGUUAAGGCGGCUUCGGCCGCGAAUAAAGUGGCGAACGGGUGAGUAACGCGUGACCGACCUUCCCCCCGCACCGGGACAACCGCGGGAAACCGCGGCUGAUACCGGGUACUCCGGGGCCCCCGCAUGGGGGCCCCGGGAAAGCUCCGGCGGCGGGGGAUGGGGUCGCGUCCCAUCAGGUAGUAGGCGGGGCAACGGCCCACCUAGCCGACGACGGGUAGCCGGGUUGAGAGACCGACCGGCCACAUUGGGACUGAGAUACGGCCCAGACUCCUACGGGAGGCAGCAGUGGGGAAUUUUGCGCAAUGGGGGCAACCCUGACGCAGCAACGCCGCGUGCGGGACGACGGCCUUCGGGUUGUAAACCGCUUUCAGCAGGGAAGAACCUAAGACGGUACCUGCAGAAGAAGCCCCGGCUAACUACGUGCCAGCCGCCGCGGUAA
rnacentral:rRNA from 1 species